GGGGGGGGGUGGCCGUUGAGGCGCGCGCGCGCGAUCACGGCGGUGGCGAUCCGGCGGCAGCAGCUUCCCCUCCCUUCAGUCCCGCUCGGCAGUCGCAGCAGCAGCAGCAGUCUGGAUAGCGGUAUCGCUGCCGUCGCCUCCUCUUCCUCCUCCUCAUCUUCGUUCCUCCCCUCCCGGGGCACGAUGCAGUUUAUGCUGCUGUUCAGUCGCCAGGGGAAGCUGAGGCUCCAGAAGUGGUAUGUCCCAUUAUCUGACAAAGAGAAGAAGAAGAUCACAAGGGAACUUGUGCAGACUGUGCUGGCUCGCAAACCCAAAAUGUGCAGCUUCCUGGAGUGGAGAGACCUGAAGAUCGUCUACAAAAGGUAUGCCAGCCUCUAUUUCUGCUGUGCCAUCGAGGACCAGGACAAUGAGCUGAUAACGCUGGAGAUCAUUCACCGCUACGUAGAGCUCCUGGACAAGUAUUUUGGCAGUGUCUGCGAGCUUGACAUCAUCUUCAAUUUUGAGAAAGCCUAUUUCAUUCUGGACGAGUUCCUCCUAGGAGGAGAAGUGCAGGAGACCUCCAAGAAGAACGUGCUGAAAGCCAUCGAGCAGGCAGACCUCCUGCAGGAGAGCCAGAAUGAAGACUGGGGAGGUUUGUCUGAGGAUAUCUUAUGAUUAAGAGCAAUCUAAGGCCUUAGCCCUUUUGACCCCCAUCUAAGUGAUUGGAAGCAGAGACCCCUCGUAGUGUACUUGAAGAAAUUGGAUUGACAUAAAGCUUGCCCGCAGCUGCUGCCCGCCCAGUGUCCCAUCCUGUCCGUGUCCACUGCCCUCAUUGUCACGUUUAGCUAAUGGUGUCAGAUGCUCUCUGUCUGUCAGUAGUUCCUGUCCUGCUAAGCUGCUCCAUUCAGGCCUACAAGAAAUGCACUGCUCGGGAAAGGGAACCAGAAGCAAAGGCUCAGACCUCAGAAGGAAAAGGGAAUUAGUGUGGGGCUCAGUGUCUGCCCUCCUGGGAGAGCUGUGGCUGCCUCCCAGAGUUUACUCUUUUUAUAAGCAACCCUGACUUCAGGAAAUAAACCUGGCAGAGUGCCCCAGCACAGCUGCCCGGGGGCAGCGCCGCGGACCGCUGCCAGACUGACGCUGUGCAACCAAAGACUUCAUCUCCCUGGUGCCCACCACCUGGCUGAGAGCUCUGCUGGUUCCACUUGCUGCACAAAGAUGGGAAGUUACCUUUUGGCUACUGAAUUGAUCAUUAUACCAAAGAAUCCUGCUGGCACCUGCUGCUCGGCCUGGGGAGUACUGCUAAGGUGGUGAUGCUGCCAGCAAGCUGCAGGCUGGAAAGGAAGCUGGCUGCAGGUGUAGCUGCCUGCAGCCCAGCUCUGCACACGUGCUGUGGGAAGGCAGGCAGGGCAACCAGAAACCAAGAAAGGGAACUGUUUCUAGGGCUGGGAUUAGCUUGGCCAGAGACGAGAAAGGAGGUGCAUAAUGGAGCCCACAGCGGGGUUCUGCAAUCCUGGGCUGCGUGAGGCACCCCUGGGUCUGGGCUUUGUGAGGCACCCCUGGGUCUGGGCUUCACGAGGCACCCCUGGGUCUGGGCUUUGUGAGGCACCCCUGGGUCUGGGCUUCAUGAGGCACCCCUGGGUCUGGACUUCAUGAGGCACCCCUGGGUCUGGGCUUUGUGAGGCACCCCUGGGUCUGGGCUUCAUAAGGCACCCCUGGGUCUGGGCUUUGUGAGGCACCCCUGGGUCUGGGCUUCAUAAGGCACCCCUGGGUCUGGGCUUUGUGAGGCACCCCUGGGUCUGGGCUUUGUGAGGCACCCCUGGGUCUGGGCUUCAUGAGGCACCCCUGGGUCUGGGCUUCACGAGGCACCCCUGGGUCUGGGCUUCAUAAGGCACCCCUGGGUCUGGGCUUUGUGAGGCACCCCUGGGUCUGGGCUUCAUAAGGCACCCCUGGGUCUGGGCUUCAUGAGGCACCCCUGGGUCUGGGCUUUGUGAGGCACCCCUGGGUCUGGGCUUCAUAAGGCACCCCUGGGUCUGGGCUUCAUGAGGCACCCCUGGGUCUGGGCUUCAUAAGGCACACCUCUGGGUCUGGGCUUCAUAAGGCACCCCUGGGUCUGGGCUUCGUGAGGCACCCCUGAGUUUGUGCUGCAGGACACACUGUGGGUUUGGGCUUCAUGAGGCACCUCUGGUUGGUGCUGAGCUUUUCUUGACUUAGAUGUGGCACAUCCCUUCCACACUGCUGCGUGAUGAGAAGCUAACCCAGCUGGCUUGCAGUGAGAGCUGUUAACUGGUAGCCUGUCCAGUGGAGUCACUGCAAGCCAUGUGGGAGUUCAAGCAGAGCUCUGUAGUCACUCUGAGCCCAGCCAGUUUCACUCCAGGAGAUUCAGCUCUACCCUUCACAGCAGCCAAGUUGUGCUGUGUGUCUGCAUGGUCCCUGAGGAGGUGAGACUGUUCCCUCCCUCUCCUCCCUGCUAACUUCACUCCAGGAGUCAAUGUUUUGGCAGUGACACCUUCUCACACCACCUCCCCUGGGUGGUGGUGCUGGAAGCAUUCAGCCAUCUGGAGAGCUGGGCUGAGGUGAGCCUGGUGAGAGCUUGGCUCCAGUUAACCCCCCAGGAAAGGCUCAGUGCGGCCACUUCAGCUCCUGGCAUCUGUGCCUGAGGCAACAGAAGGCCUGGGCAGGGCUGGGCCUGCACACUUCUGUGGUGGUGCCUGAGAGCUCAGAGGGUUGGGAUUCAUCUGCUCCUGGCCCUUCUGGGCUUUCAGCAGGGUGCUAGGAGCUGCUUUGGUCCCAGGGCAUGGGGUGCAGGGCGAGGGGAAGAGGCAGGGGGAGCAGGAUGCCCCCGGGCGCAGUGGCAGUGGUGACCUUAGCUCAAGCCAACCCCAAAGCAGUCUCUGUGCUCCAGGUGUUCCCAAGCUGCCACUGUCACUCCUCUGUGCUUGGCUGGAUUAGGCUUUGUUGUGGUCGUGACCAACUGUUUGAGCUGUGUCUGUCACCUCGGUUUAGCUGUAAUAAAUGUCCAUUUUUACACCA